AAAAUCUCCGCCUUAAACUUCCUCCUCACUGAUCUCGUGGAAUCUCAUACAGAGAAGUGUAGUUCCAAUCAUGCAGAAUAGCUUUAGAAGUGUUUGGUUGUUAUUAAACUGGUAUUUAGCUCUCCCAAUAGAUUCCCACAAAUGAUCCAGAGGAUAAGCUUGCACAGGCAGUAAGCUAUCAACUCCAAUAAAAACUGAAAACGUUUUCAAAUAUUUUAGGAUAUGAUCAAGAGCAGUUACUAGACAAACAAACACACACCACCUGAAACAUUCGAAUUUUUUCGAAGUAGAGAGCGUAAACUCCGGCAAAGGCGAAACCAAUGCAGACUAGAUCUAUGGUCAUGCUUACGGAAAGCAAAAUCACAUUGGACCCUAUGUUUAGGAUGUUGUAAAAGUCCUCAAUGAAGUCCAAGCAGUUCAAUGUCUGCAAGAAUGGUGAAAUAGUGGUGGACCGGAAACACUAGUGUGACCAACUCACUGCGGAGAUUGCUACAAGCAGUAUGACCGUAAUUUUAAGACCAAUGGUGGGACAAAAGCACAUUUUACUGAUAAUUUUAAAUGAUCCGAAACAGUAAAUGACAAAAUAUACAAGUAAUACUCAUUUUUAAAUUAAAAUGUUUGUUCUUUACGAGAUCGAAGCCGCAAGAUGUUCAAGUAGCCGUCUUGGGCUACAUGGGUUACCUCCUUGCCUCUCCUCGCCACAUAUGUAUGUGAAAGCAACAAGGACAACAAAGCGGCCAGCAGCAAUGCCAACAACACUGCUGACAAUUUCCAGUUGAGGACACAAAGCAGAGACAUCCUCCCCAGCUUCGCAGGAUCCUUGUAUCUGUGUGUCCUGCUAAAAUAAUCGCCACAAUAAUCUGUCAACGACAGCUGCUGAUGUCAUAAAAACCUUUUGAAGAUGUUGUUGCUGGAGUCCUUGUAAGGACACGCACAAACACACAGUAGCUGGAACAACACCAACAACAGGCUAAUGAUAAUUUGCCACAAUUUACACUCAAACCAGCCACAGCAACAGGACCUCCCGGCCAGGUCCUGUCCCUUUCCCUUUCAACUUCCUUUCGCCACAAAUGGUUGCGAUAAAAUCAUUGAUGAAGCCAGAAGCUAAUUGAAUGUUAAUCGCUUGGCAUUGACAUUGCACGUGGCAGGCAGGCAGGCCGAAAGGCGGGAAAAUGUUGGGUAAAAAAUGGGAAAAUAGAAAACGCCACCCUCCCAUCCAGGUGGGGGUUGAAUUUCCGCAGAUGCUCUCCGAUAAACGCACAAAGGUAAGCGGUCAAUUUGCAUAAGGUAAUGAUAAGUCAACAGCCAAGCGACGACCUUCAAGAUGCGUUGUUUCCCCCUCAAAGCGAAGCAAAUAAAAUACAAACAGCCUUUAAAUUAAAAAUUAAAAUUUAAUCAGCCUCACGAUGCGUAUCAUCAGUUUGGAGCAGAGAAAUGGUGGCUUUUGCUUUUUGUCUGCUUCUAUGACAUAUCGUGAUGGCGCGUCUGCUUUCUUUUCUUCUACUUUCACUCGACUUGCUUGGGUCUUUGGACUAUAUUUGUCUAGAAACUUAAGGGUCUGUAAAAUAUGGU